UGGUAGUGUAUUGGACAACCAUGGCAGUCACGGGUAACGGAGAAUUAGGGUUCGAUUCCGGAGAGGGAGCCUGAGAAACGGCUACCACAUCUAAGGAAGGCAGCAGGCGCGUAAAUUACCCAAUCCCGAUUCGGGGAGGUAGUGACAAGAAAUAGCAACUCGUGCGGGUUUCCGUUACGGGAUUGCAAUGAGAUAAGUCCAAAUCCGUAAACGAUUAACAAUUGGAGGGCAAGUCUGGUGCCAGCAGCCGCGGUAAUUCCAGCUCCAAUAGCGUAUACUUAAGUUGUUGCAGUUAAAAAGCUCGUAGUUGAAAUUCGAGUCAGUUACUAGUUGGCUUUUCGUCAGUUAGUUAAUUGAUUCUCCGUCUACAAUCCCUUUUGCGCUUUAGGGUUGCAGCUGGGCGAGUAGACAAUUUACCUUGAAAAAAUUAGAGUGUUCCAGGCAGGUCUUCGCCGGAAUACAUUAGCAUGGAAUAAUGGAAUAGGACUUGGGUCUUUUGUUGGUUUUAGGACUUGAGUAAUGAUUAAUAGGGACAGAUGGGGGCAUUAGUAUUUAAUUGUCAGAGGUGAAAUUCUUGGAUUUAUUAAAGACUAACUUAUGCGAAAGCAUUUGCCAAGGAUGUUUUCAUUAAUCAAGAACGAAAGUUAGGGGAUCAAAGACAAUCAGA
rnacentral:rRNA from 1 species